rnacentral:rRNA from 1 species
GAUGAACGCUGGCGGCGUGCCUAAUACAUGCAAGUCGAGCGAACGGACGAGAAGCUUGCUUCUCUGAUGUUAGCGGCGGACGGGUGAGUAACACGUGGAUAACCUACCUAUAAGACUGGGAUAACUUCGGGAAACCGAAGCUAAUACCGGAUGAUAUUUUGAACCGCAUGGUUCAAAAGUGAAAGACGGUCUUGCUGUCACUUAUAGAUGGAUCCGCGCUGCAUUAGCUAGUUGGUAAGGUAACGGCUUACCAAGGCAACGAUGCAUAGCCGACCUGAGAGGGUGAUCGGCCACACUGGAACUGAGACACGGUCCAGACUCCUACGGCAGGCAGCAGUAGGGAAUCUUCCGCAAUGGGCGAAAGCCUGACGGAGCAACGCCGCGUGAGUGAUGAAGGUCUUCGGAUCGUAAAACUCUGUUAUUAGGGAAGAACAUAUGUGUAAGUAACUGUGCACAUCUUGACGGUACCUAAUCAGAAAGCCACGGCUAACUACGUG